AUUGCUUCUCGGCCUUUUGGCUAAGAUCAAGUGUAGAAUGGGGUCUGAAAUGCCUCAUAGCUGCAUUACAGAUGAGCCUUCUUCAUUAGUGACCUGUAAAGGGGAUAAAUGUGGUUGUAAGAAAGCAUAUUUAUGUUCAUGUUUGUCAAAAUAAUGGUUGGAAUACUUAUAAUUCCAACAGAAGCUGAUCUCCA